GGCUGAUGGCGACCGGCGCACGGGUGAGUAACACGUAUCCAAGCUGCCGUCUACUCUUGGCCAGCCUUCUGAAAGGAAGAUUAAUCCAGGAUGGGAUCAUGAGUUCACAUGUCCGCAUGAUUAAAGGUAUUUUCCGGUAGACGAUGGGGAUGCGUUCCAUUAGAUAGUAGGCGGGGUAACGGCCCACCUAGUCAACGAUGGAUAGGGGUUCUGAGAGGAAGGUCCCCCACAUUGGAACUGAGACACGGUCCAAACUCCUACGGGAGGCAGCAGUGAGGAAUAUUGGUCAAUGGGCGAUGGCCUGAACCAGCCAAGUAGCGUGAAGGAUGACUGCCCUAUGGGUUGUAAACUUCUUUUAUAAAGGAAUAAAGUCGGGUAUGCAUACCCGUUUGCAUGUACUUUAUGAAUAAGGAUCGGCUAACUCCGUGCCAGCAGCCGCGGUAAUACGGAGGAUCCGAGCGUUAUCCGGAUUUAUUGGGUUUAAAGGGAGCGUAGAUGGAUGUUUAAGUCAGUUGUGAAAGUUUGCGGCUCAACCGUAAAAUUGCAGUUGAUACUGGAUGUCUUGAGUGCAGUUGAGGCAGGCGGAAUUCGUGGUGUAGCGGUGAAAUGCUUAGAUAUCACGAAGAACUCCGAUUGCGAAGGCAGCCUGCUAAGCUGCAACUGACAUUGAGGCUCGAAAGUGUGGGUAUCAAACAGGAUUAGAUACCCUGGUAGUCCACACGGUAAACGAUAAAUGCUCGCUGUUUGCGAUAUUCGGCAAGCGGCCAAGCGAAAGCGUUAAGUAUUCCCCCUGGGGAGUACGCCGGCAACGGUGAAACUCAAAGGAAUUGACGGGGGCCCGCACAAGCGGAGGAACAUGUGGUUUAAUUCGAUGAUACGCGAGGAACCUUACCCGGGCUUAAAUUGCACUCGAAUGAUCCGGAAACGGUUCAGCUAGCAAUAGCGAGUGUGAAGGUGCUGCAUGGUUGUCGUCAGCUCGUGCCGUGAGGUGUCGGCUUAAGUGCCAUAACGAGCGCAACCCUUGUUGUCAGUUACUAACAGGUGAUGCUGAGGACUCUGACAAGACUGCCAUCGUAAGAUGUGAGGAAGGUGGGGAGGACGUCAAAUCAGCACGGCCCUUACGUCCGGGGCUACACACGUGUUACAAUGGGGGGUACAGAGGGCCGCUACCCCGCGAGUGGAUGCCAAUCCCUAAAACCCCUCUC
rnacentral:rRNA from 1 species